ACCAGGAGGGAACGGGACAGCCGGGAGCGGACCGUACUCAGGGAACCUACCCUGGAGACUUCACCCGGACGCUGGGCGCCUCGGACUGCAGAACCAGGAAUUUUGGAGAGAAUUUGCUCUGAAAUCUGGUGAAUAUACCUUUCAAGAUCACUCCACGGUUGCUUUUGGAGUCAUUUGUGUGUUGCAGAUAUCUCACUCUUCCCUCCAGACAUAAGGAAGUGGAAGUGGCUUUGUACAGACACUGGACAUGAACUGGGAAUUCUCAAGGAACACCAGUGGGGGGAGAAUUUUAAGGUUUAUUGCUUCCUUCCUUUUGUAAAUACAGCCAAACUCCAGGAAAGGGAUAACCCACUCUAUUGAUUUAAAUAGACUUCAUUUCAAAGUGUGAGGGAGCUACCUGCUCACAGUGGGUACAUCUACAC